AGUUUGAUCCUGGCUCAGAAUGAACGCUGGCGGCGUGCCUAACACAUGCAAGUCGGAUGUGCCGCAAGGUGCAUGGCAGACGGGUGAGUAACGCGUAGGGAAUCUACCUUUUUGUGGGGAAUAACGCUCCGAAAGGAGUGGUAAUACCGCAUGAGACCGCAGACUGGGAUGUUUGUGGUGAAACCUGGGGACCGCAAGGCCUGGGGCAAGAAGAGGAUCCUGCGUCUGAUUAGCUAGUUGGCGGGGUAAUGGCCCACCAAGGCGACGAUCAGUAGCCGGCCUGAGAGGGUGAUCGGCCACACUGGAACUGAGACACGGUCCAGACUCCUACGGGAGGCAGCAGUGGGGAAUUUUGCGCAAUGGACGAGAGUCU
rnacentral:rRNA from 1 species